rnacentral:lncRNA from 1 species
CUCUCAAACCCUAGCUGCCACCCUUACCUACCACCCUAAAACUGCCCAAAUCAAUUGCUUCCAAAGACACUGGAGGCCUAUAUCCACCUCCCUAUGCUUCUAUGUGUUCAAGUAUCAUGGUUUCAAGGCUAAAUCCUGGAACAUCUUGGUCCAGACCUUGGUUGAUCUCCGUUCUAUGGAUGUCUCCGGUCAUCUUUGACUUUGCUCUGGCUAGCCAUAGCUAUUAAAACCUGACUCUUGACUUCUCCUGCUUAGAUCAAUGAUUUUCCAAGCCUUUCUCACCAUCUGGGGUUCUUUUGAAACCCUAACAUUUAAUUUCUUCCAAUUUCUUUUAGAUCUGUUUUUGCUCGAAACUUCUAAAUGUUUUUCUCAAGGUUUCUUUCAAACUCUACCUUCGAAACCCUUUAUCUUUUUCGAAUUUUGUUUUUGUUAAGUUAUUUCGAAGCUUUCUUUGAUUUUCAACAUGUUCUGUUGUGUUUCCUUAUAUCGUUCUUUACUGGAGUUUGCAUGUCAGGAGUCUUAGUUUUUUUGAGAUUUCCAAAUAUAUUUUGUGUUAGUAUUUGUCUGAUUUACUUAUUUUUCACCUCUAGACUCAAUUGAUAAAACCCUAAAAUUUUGGGUUCGCUCAAGUUCUAAGACUAUCUGUUGUGUGAUUUACUUGUUCAUCAUCUAUGGAUUUGAUUGGUUUCAAAACCCUAAUUUCUUU